rnacentral:rRNA from 1 species
UACGUAGGGGGCAAGCGUUGUUCGGAAUUACUGGGCGUAAAGGGCGCGUAGGCGGCCUUCUAAGUCGAACGUGAAAUCCCCGGGCUCAACCCGGGAACUGCGUCCGAUACUGGAAGGCUUGAAUCCGGGAGAGGGAUGUGGAAUUCCAGGUGUAGCGGUGAAAUGCGUAGAUAUCUGGAGGAACACCGGUGGCGAAGGCGACAUCCUGGACCGGUAUUGACGCUGAGGCGCGAAAGCCAGGGGAGCAAAGCAGG